rnacentral:sRNA from 1 species
GGCCAUGUUCCUGUGAGAAUUAUGUGUUUCUUUUUUCUCUCUUUAUUUUUUUUUAAAAAAAUUCAAGUGUUGUUUAUGGUCAAUUAUAAGACGUAGAUCCUUUCUUUCUUGGAUCUCUCAAAAACGAAACAAAGAACCUAGAAGAUGUUGGGUGAAGGGGCUUUGUUCGACAAACCCAAUAGUGAAAGGGCUCAAAGUUCUUUUUUGGAUCAACCGAGUUCUUUUUAUUAUACUAGUUAAUCAUAAGCAUAGAGGAAAUAGGAAUAUUACUUUAGGGAUGUCUCCAAUGAGCUUCCCGUAGAGGUGGU